rnacentral:rRNA from 1 species
GACGAACGCUGGCGGCGUGCUUAACACAUGCAAGUCGAACGGUGAACCUCUUCGGAGGGGAUCAGUGGCGAACGGGUGAGUAACACGUGGGCAACCUGCCCCCGGCUCUGGGAUAACUCCAAGAAAUUGGGGCUAAUACCGGAUGUUCACCGCUUCCCGCAUGGGUGGUGGUGCAAAGGGUUUCCGGCUGGGGAUGGGCCCGCGGCCUAUCAGCUUGUUGGUGGGGUAGUGGCCUACCAAGGCGACGACGGGUAGCCGGCCUGAGAGGGUGGCCGGCCACACUGGGACUGAGACACGGCCCAGACUCCUACGGGAGGCAGCAGUGGGGAAUAUUGCGCAAUGGGCGGAAGCCUGACGCAGCGACGCCGCGUGGGGGAUGACGGCCUUCGGGUUGUAAACCUCUUUCAGCAGGGACGAAGCGCAAGUGACGGUACCUGCAGAAGAAGCACCGGCCAACUACGUG